ACAGAAGCAUUGCUUUUACAGCCAGAUAAGCGGGCAGCCUAAAAUCCCUGGCUUCUCAGGAAGGAGGACAUUUAAGAAGUAGCAGCUGGACAGGCUGGUGGAUAUUGCUGGGACACCUGGAAAACCAGGCCUGUGGGAGCACCACACAUCAUGUGGGAUCUUAGCUCCCCAACCAAGGAAUCUUAACCACUGGGCCACCAGGGAAGUCCUCUGAGUGCAUUCUUGAUGUCUUUCCUGCUCAGUAAGAGGAAGAAAGGAGCUGGGAAGAGGCUAUUAUUUGGUCCAUUUGCUGAAUAGGGAUAGGAAUAGAUGUUUGCUAGUGCUGCUUAAUUCUACACAGGACAACAUGUUCCUUGGGUUCUGAUAGCAUUGCUGGUAUUUGCUUUGAAACCUCUUAUCUGGCACAGAUAUGAUGGAUCUGCUCAGGUCCUUGAACCCCUUUCUCCUCAUUUUCAUCAUUCAAAAAUUCUUAUUGAGUCUUUACUGUAUCCCAGGCACUGUGCAUAUAGUAUUAACUACCUAAUAAGGAAUUCAUGUGGGGUAUGAUAAGCAAUGAGAUUGAAAAGAUAAGUAGUGGGAUGAUCAUACUUUAUCCUAAAAGCAAUGCAGAGCCUUUGAAUGGUAUUAAGCAAGGGGGUGUCAUGAUUAGAACUGCAUUUUAAAAAGAUCGCUGUGGUUGCAAUGUGGAGAACAGAUUAGAGACAGCAAGAUUGAUGUCAGGGAGACCAGACAGAAAGUUUUUGUAGUAAUUUGGAAAAAUGAGAAACGAUGUGUGCUGGACUAGGAAAAUGAUGAUGAUGAUGGAGAGGAGAUGACUUCAAGAAAUAAACAGUAUUAAAGUCAGCAGGUCUUGGGAUUGGAAGUGGAGGGACGCAGAGAGCUAAGCCAAGACCUCCGGACCACUCACUGAAAUAUCAAACACCUGAAGGAAAGCAGGUUUGGGAGAUGAUAUGCUCACUUCCAAACAUGUUGACAUUGAAAUGCCUGAGAGAUGUCCAAGCGGAAAUGUCUAUCCAAGAGGUCAGAGCUUCUCAACUGUUGUGCCUCAGGAAGAAGUUACAGAUGUGCUGCAUGUUGAUGUUCUCAACCCUCAGAGCAGCACAAGGUCCCUCCAACAGACAGCAGUCUCAGUUAGGUGGACUGCCACGAAAACACCAUCAUUUUCUAUGCAUGCCAUGAUGUGGGAAAUGUUGGGAAGUACUGAUAUAUGAUGAUGUUGGAUAAAUAAUUCUGAAGCUCAGAAGAGAUAUCUGGACUACAGAUAAGACAUCUGUGAGUCAUCACAACAUCAGAACAUAGGUGGUAACUAAAGCCAUGGAGUGGAGGAGAUCAUGCAAGGAAAGAAGGGGGACUGGAACAGAACCCGAACAAACAUUAGAGAGGGAUCUGCAGAGAAGGAGGAAGACAACUGGCUAAGUGCUGUCACCAGAGCCCAAGAGGUUUCCAAAAAAAGACCAAAUAGUUCCCGAUAUUGCUGACGUCAAGUUGGAUCAGGACUGAGACAUACCUGCUGACUUUAGCUACAUGUGGUUGGUGACUUUGGCAGAACCAAAUUUCGAGAAGCGUUGAGAAAGUGGUACACAGUAAGGAAUGAAGACAAGAAGUAUUUAAAGAAUUUUGGCUAUGCUGUGAGGGAAAAGUUAGACAGAUAGGUGGGUGGGGCAAUGGGGGAUAAGAGUUAUUUUAGAGAAUUAGUUUUAGAAAGACAGUGCUUCUUAAUUUUCAGAAUUAUUUAAAAUUUAUUUUAAAAAAGCAUUAAGUGCAUUAAAUGCUUAUACUGUUAUUCUUUGAUUUUUCACUUUUAGGAUAUUUUAUUACCCUCUAUGUAUAUAUUCCUUUCUUUUCCUUUUUUCUUUUUUCUUACAUAUUUUUUUAAAAGGUACAAAAAUGGGAUCUUACCAUUCAUAUUGUUCCGCACCUUACAUUUUGUGCUUAAAAUAUCUUGGAGACCUUUCAGUACUAGCAUAUUUAGAUCUACCUUGUUCUUUUAAACAAUUGCAUAGCAAUCUAUUUAUGACUGUACCAUAUUGUUUCCUAACUGAUGGCCAUUUAGGUCGUUUCCAGCUUUUCACUUUUAUCAACCAACUGUAAUGGAUGACAUUGUAUACAAAUCCUGGCAUACUUAUGUGAGUGUAUCCACAGGAUAAAUUCCUAGCGGUAGAAUUCCUGGGUAUGUUCAGUAAACAUUUUGGAUAAUUAUUGACAAAUUGCCUUUCAGAUUUGUCACGCUGAUUUACAUUCCCACCAAUAAGGUAUAAUAAUACCUAUUUCCCCACAUUCUCACCAUCACUGUUUAAAAAUUUUGUGAAUAUUGCUUUAAGUGAUGAAAUGUUCUUUCAUUGUUUUUAUUUGCAUGUAAUUAAUAAGGAGAAAGAGUAAACAAAUUAUCAGAUGUUUAUCUGCCAGAUAAUAACCAGAUGUUUGUCAUGUUCUGUGAAUGUCUAUUUGCCAUGGGACUUACUGAAAUUCUCUCUUUGCCUUAGGUAGUCAAAUUUAUUGCUCUUUUUCUUUAUGGCUCUCGGGUUUUUUGUGUUUAGAAAGUACUCCAAAUUUUUAAGUUAACUUUUUUCUCUAGUAUGCUAUGGUUUUCUUUUUACUUUAAAUAUUCCACCCAGAAGAAAUGUGGAUGGACCUAGAGACUGUCAUACAGAGUGAAAAAUAGAGACAGACGCAGAGAAUGGACAUAUGGAACUAGAUCCUGCAUGAAUGCCACAACUGAGAGUCUGCAUGCCACAACCAAGGAGUCUGCAUGCUGCAACUAAGAUCCCACAUGCUGCAGCUAAGACCUGGUGCAGCCAAAUAAAUAAACAAAUAUUAAAAAAAAAAAAAAAGCACAAGUGCCUUAAUGAAAAGGGUUUCUCUGUAAAAAAAUAAAUAAAAUAGAUAACUAAUGAGAACCUACUGUAUAGCACAGGGAACUCUACUCAAAGCUCUGUGUGACCUAAAUGGGAAGGAAAUCCAAAAAAGAGGGGAUAUAUGUAUAUGUAUAGCCGAUUCACUUUUCUGUACAGCAGAAACUAACAUAACAUUGUAAUGCAACUCUACUCCAAAAAAAAUUAAUUUAAAAAAAUUUUAAAUAAAUAAAUAUUCCAUCCAGAAUCUACUUAAAUGGCAAAAACCACUGUUACUUCUCACUGCUGCUCAGAACAGCUCCAUUCUAGACCAGCCAGCUCUUUCUGUUCUCAAUGUACAAAGCACCCAUUCCUUGUACCCUUGCAGAGAGGUUCCUUUCCACAGGGCUCAUAGGGCAUGCUCCUUUCCCUC